CCUACGGGAGGCUGCAGUGGGGAAUAUUGGGCAAUGGGCGCAAGCCUGACCCAGCAACGCCGCGUGAAGGAAGAAGGCUUUCGGGUUGUAAACUUCUUUUGUCAGGGAAGAGGAGAAGACGGUACCUGACGAAUAAGCCACGGCUAACUACGUGCCAGCAGCCGCGGUAAUACGUAGGUGGCAAGCGUUGUCCGGAUUUACUGGGUUUAAAGGGCGUGUAGCCGGGUUGACAAGUCAGAUGUGAAAUCCUGCGGCGUAACCGCAGAACUGCAUUUGAAACUGUUGAUCUUGAGUACUGGAGAGGCAGCCGGAAUUCCUAGUGUAGCGGUGACAUGCGUAGAUAUUAGGAGGAACCCCAGUGGCGAAGGCGGUCUGCUGGACAGCACCUGACGGUGAGGCGCGAAAGCGUGGGGAGCAAACAGGAUUAGAUACCCCUGUAGUC
rnacentral:rRNA from 1 species